rnacentral:lncRNA from 1 species
UUAAUCUAAUUGAUUUAUUUUUAUAUUAAGAAGAGAUUGGUGAGAAGAAGAAACGAAGAAAAAUAAAAGGUGGAGAAGGGAGGGGAGGAUGUGAGUUAUUGACGACUUGAUGGUGAUCCGAUGGUAGUUUAAUGGUGAACCAUUAGUGGUGCACUAGUAACACUAAGGCAAGAUGUUGGUUGUCCAAGUUAGAAAAGGCGGUGGACGAAGAGGAGGUGGAGGAAGAGGAAGAUGAAGAGAAAUAAAAGAGGAGGAUGAGCUAGAUGUGGCAGUGGUGGCAUGACAACGACAACAAUCCUACAAAAAAAGAAGAGGAUGAAGAAUAAGACUCAAUCGUGUAUUUUACCAAUGGAUUUGUGAUCAACGAUAAUUAUCAAUGAAUUUUGUCAUUUGUAAAUAAAGUUGUUAGUGACCACAUUACCGAUAGAUUUUUUACUAU